rnacentral:rRNA from 1 species
AUUGAACGCUGGCGGCAGGCCUAACACAUGCAAGUCGAACGGUAACAGGAAGAAGCUUGCUUCUUUGCUGACGAGUGGCGGACGGGUGAGUAAUGUCUGGGAAACUGCCUGGUGUAGGGGGAUAACUACUGGAAACGGUAGCUAAUACCGCAUAACGUCGCAAGACCAAAGAGGGGGACCUUCGGGCCUCUUGCCAUCGGAUGUGCCCAGAUGGGAUUAGCUAGUAGGUGGGGUAACGGCUCACCUAGGCGACGAUCCCUAGCUGGUCUGAGAGGAUGACCAGCCACACUGGAACUGAGACACGGUCCAGACUCCUACGGGAGGCAGCAGUGGGGAAUAUUGCACAAUGGGCGCAAGCCUGAUGCAGCCAUGCCGCGUGUAUGAAGAAGGCCUUCGGGUUGUAAAGUACUUUCAGCGGGGAGGAAGGGAGUAAAGUUAAUACCUUUGCGCAUUGACGUUACCCGAAGAAGAAGCACCGGCUAACUCCGUG